AAGCAGAUAAAAUAUGUUUAGAUUUCCCAAAGCACUUUCUUUGAAUUCAUGACCAUCUGUCUGAAAGACUAUACUAUUGGAAGGAAGUCUCAAUAAACAGCCCACAUUUGAGGAAUGAAGAGUUACCCUCCCCAGGCUCUUGAGGGGUGUGAUGGAGUCUCAUGUCCUGUCAACAACAACCAUGAGAGAGUGGCACACUAACUUGCCUGUUAGUUUGCAGAACUGAAGACAGCCUUUUGCUAUGCUUGUUGGUGAGCUUGGGGGAGGAGACAGGACAGAGAAGGAGACACUCUGAGGACUGCUGGCAUCCUGUAACAUGCAGGUAAGAAAUAUUUACAAAUGAUUUGCUAUGUAUUUUAAA